rnacentral:rRNA from 1 species
ACGGGGGAUUAGGGUUCGAUUCCGGAGAGGGAGCCUGAGAAACGGCUACCACAUCUAAGGAAGGCAGCAGGCGCGCAAAUUACCCAAUCCUAAUAGCAUAAGGGAGGUAGUGACAAGAAAUAACAAUACAAGGCAAUUAAAAUGCUUUGUAAUUGGAAUGAUAGAAAUUUAAACACUUUCUAAAGUAUCAAUUGGAGGGCAAGUCUGGUGCCAGCAGCCGCGGUAAUUCCAGCUCCAAUAGCGUAUAUUAAAGUUGUUGCAGUUAAAAAGCUCGUAGUUGAAUUUCUGUUAAAAAUAACUGGUCUGCUUUACAUUAAAGUGGUACCUCGGUGUGUUUUUAGCAUUAAUGUCCUAUGAAAUGUUUUUUACUUUAUUGGUAAAARCAAUAUUCCGGAUUUUUACUUUGAAAAAAUUAAAGUGGUUCAAGCAGGCUAACGUUUUGAAUACUGCAGCAUGGAAUAAUAAAAUAAGAUUUUGGUUCUACAUUAUUGGUUUUAAGAACUAAAUUAAUGAUUAAUAGGGACGGUUGGGGGCAUUUGUAUUUGACUGGC